rnacentral:lncRNA from 1 species
CCCUGGCUCGGUAACGUGCUGGCUUAACAACCGCCGUGCUUCCUGCACCCCAAAUUUGGGCCCCUUAAAUAGAGUGCAAGAAGCCAGAUGCGGGCCUGAGGAAGGUGUCUGAGGCUCCUGGAUUUGGGGGAGGUUGAAAAGGAGAAAGAGGAAAGUGGGGAAGGGACGUAGGGCGCAUAAAGAGAAAAUCCGGAAGACCAAGAUCGCACCCGGUGUCUGACAAGAGGGUCAUGGCCCCGUACAGAAGGCUGGAAAAACCGGGACUGUGGGAAGGGGCCUUAUCCAAGUGAGAAGCACAGAGACCUCAACUGAAAACCAUCGGAGCAGGCGAGCAGUGACUCACGCUCCCCUUCCCAGUGGUGUGGGUCAGAUCGUGGACGUCGGGGCUGCUCCUGCGCCCUGCCCACCUCCUCACACUGCCCCUUCACCUAAGGACCCAUGGACUUGACCUGGGCUUCUGAGAGGGCGUAUGUCUCUGGAGACGUAAGAGUCUGGCAAUAUGAAAGGCAAUAGGCUACAUAUUUACAAGAGCUUCAGAGGAAGCAGAAAGAAUACGCUCUCUGAGUCUAAGGGGUCUGUACUUGCUUGUAUAUAGCCACCCUCUCCAACCCUGAUGCUCUGUCGCGCUCACAAAGAACUCAUCUCUACUGGAAAAAAAGAAAGGACUAAAAAUCCAACAAAAUUAAAAUCUUCUAAUAAAGCAGAAGCAGCUCACUGUUGCUGGUAUUGCUGGUUCUUUUGAAGAAUGUAGUAGAAAUUUGUGCCACUUUCUCCAGGACCAUUGUGCCAGUGUGCAAGAGUGUGUUUUUCAUAAACAGAGAAAUAUUACUAACUGCAAAGAGAAGAAACUGUUCCAGGGUGUACAAAUCCCACACCAGCAUCCAAAAUAAUGGCAAAUACUGUUCUGUUCUUAGCGACCCUAAGUAACCUUUGUGCCAUUUAUUUAUUGAACAUAUUUUUCUUGAGCAGCUGUUAUGGGCC